CAUAUAAAGCGGGACAUCUUCCCCAUCCAAAUCAUAGAAUUUUGAAUUUCUUCUUCAACGUGAAGGAAAACGUAAUCAAUCAUGAAGACCAAGGGGACAUCUAGUUCUCUUUUGCUCAUCACUGUUUUGAUCAAUGUUGCUCAAUGUCGACCCCGGGGAGUCCUCUUAUUGGACGAAAAAUCUGUCAACCGAGAUGAACUCUCAUCAUAUGAUUCCAUAAUGAAGUCAUUCGCUGAAAAUUGCCAAUCAAUGAAUGAAACUGAAUCUGGAUGUCAGUUAUUCCAAAUUGAACAUGAUGGUAAAUUAGUUAUUCCACCUUAUGAAUUCUUAAUGACGCAGUUAGUGUUACGCUGCAAGAUUCUGACAAGACUAUGGUCCCACCCAAGGUGGUGCAAAGAGCUUCAGUCACCCAAUGGAGAAUUUUUCAUGAUAAUUCCAUCAUUUGAGGAAUUGCAAGAAAGAACACAGAGUAACUGUAAGGAGGCGCUUUCGAAUUAUGCUACCACACCCGACCAUCUCCUUUGGUGCAGAAUAUUUGGAUUUUAUUGAUAAUUUCGUGACUUUUUCUCCCCUUCAACUACGACCACCCAUUGAAGAAUUGGUGUCAAACCAUGUCAAUCGAAGCUCCCAAAAAUAAAUUAUGAAUAUGCACAUUAA